AAACUUUUUUUUUUUUUUCAACCCCCCCGCCCCCUUUUUUAAAAAAAAAACUUAUUUUUUUUUUAAAGGGCCGCCCCCCCUUUUUUUUAAAAAAAAAAUCUUCUUUAUUAUCUAGAAACCAACCUCCCGGUGAAUAGACCUAUAUUAUAUUGAAGGACAAGAAGACCCUGGCGGCCUUUAGAGUAAAGCAGGAAUAUAAGUAUUAAAAAAAAUCAAUGACUACAUAACUCUUUAGUUGGGGCGACUAAGGAACAAAUAAAGCUUCUUUUAGUUUUUUAGAUCAAUAAAUUUAGAUCCAGCAAAGCUGAUUAAAAGAAUUAGUUACCGCAGGGAUAACAGCAUAAUCUCUCUUGAGAGACCUAAUCGAAAGAGGGGGUUGUGACCUCGAUGUUGGACUAAAAUAUCCUGAAGAUGCAGACGUCUUCGAAGGUUGGUCUGUUCGACCAUUAAAAUUUUACGUGAUCUGAGUUCAGACCGGACGCCCC
rnacentral:rRNA from 1 species